AUAGAUAGAUAGAUAGAUAGAUAGAUAGAUAGAUAGCAAUUAUGCAGCACAUUCUCAGCAUCAUUGUUGAUAUGAAUAUCUGAUUGUGUUUAUAAGGAUGCUUCUGUAACAUAUCCCUGUUUCUAUUUAUACCAGUUUUAAAAACCCCGUAUAGUGUAUGCUCUGAUUCUUUCGUCUUCUUACUAGCUGCUCGAUAACGUACAGUUGAUAGAGAUGAAUACAAUACAGUAAAAUAGUAGAACGAGGUUAAUAUUAUUGAUAAAAUCUUCAAAGUUGCUUCCUUAGCUCAGCCAGUGUUCAAUAAUUGAAACAAGUGCAAGAAUAUAAGAAUAUAAACCAAUAUAACAUUAUACACACAGACACACAUACGCACAAGGACACACAAAUAUACAAAUAGUAUGAUGUAAACAGAAUUUAUAAUUCAGAAAUGUAUACCUUGAGACUAAGUUUAUUUCUGAAUUUCGACAAUUCUCAAUUCUGUCCACUUUUGUUUCUUUCACUCUGCUUUUAAAGAAUAUACGAGAAAUAAAUAGAAAGAAACAUUAAUGUUUAACUGAACAGAGAAUUUGAAGUGAAGAAAAGUUGGCAUCGAAUUUUGUCAGAGAAACCUAUUCAAGAUUUUCUUCUGUGAUUGAACACUG